AACGAACGCUGGCGGCAGGCUUAACACAUGCAAGUCGAACGGUUGUAGCAAUACAGCAGUGGCAGACGGGUGAGUAACAUGUGGGAACCUUCCUAGGGGUACGGAACAACUCAGGGAAACCUGAGCUAAUACCGUAUACGUCCGUGAGGAGAAAGAUUUAUCGCCCUUAGACGGGCCCGCGUCGGAUUAGCUAGUUGGUGGGGUAACGGCCUACCAAGGCGACGAUCCGUAGCUGAUCUUAGAGGAUGAUCAGCCACACUGGGACUGAGACACGGCCCAGACUCCUACGGGAGGCAGCAGUGGGGAAUCUUGGACAAUGGGCGCAAGCCCGAUCCAGCCAUGCCGCGUGAGUGAAGAAGGUCUUCGGAUUGUAAAGCUCUUUUGCCAGGGACGAUAAUGACGGUACCUGGAGAAUAAGCCCCGGCAAACUUCGUGCCAGCCGCCGCAGUAA
rnacentral:rRNA from 1 species